UACGUAGGGUGCGAGCGUUAAUCGGAAUUACUGGGCGUAAAGCGUGCGCAGGCGGUCUUUUAAGUCAGAUGUGAAAUCCCCGGGCUUAACCUGGGAACUGCGUUUGAAACUGGAAGGCUUGAGUGUGGCAGAGGGGGGUGGAAUUCCACGUGUAGCAGUGAAAUGCGUAGAGAUGUGGAGGAACACCGAUGGCGAAGGCAGCCCCCUGGGCUAACACUGACGCUCAUGCACGAAAGCGUGGGGAGCAAACAGG
rnacentral:rRNA from 1 species